CCCAGUUUUAUUCAUCUUAUCUAUAUGAGGCUUGUGCUCAGCAAUCAGCUCACGCAGUUGCCGAUGCUCUUCUUGUUGUUGCUUUAAAGUUUCAUACUCAAGGGCCGGUGCAGGAAGCUGAGAGAUGAUCAUUUCUGUUUCAGUUAACCAUGGCCAAAGCUCUUCAUAAGUCUCCCAGAAUUGGUUAACAAGGGACUGAGCCCUCUCCAGCUGAAGGUUUCUCUCUGAGUUCAUUUGACAGACUGUAUCAUAUUUCUGUAACAGGCUUUUCAGUUUUUUCUUUAUCGUCUGCUUCUCUUCUUCAGUGCACGUGUUCAUAAUCUUAUCCCCGGACUUAACAAGUUCAUCUAUAGUAUCUUUGUGCCUCAAAAUCUCCAUGGUAAAAGCCUUUUGAACUUGUAGCUGAGCUGCGGUCUGGUCUUGCUCAAGCCUAAUAUCGCCAAGAGACAUCAGUUUCUUUUCUGCUUCUGCAAUCCAGGCAAGUUCAGCAUCAGCUGCUUGAUCGAACUGCUGGGAUCUCAGGAUAGCAGCAUCAAUCUCAUCCACCUUCUGAGAGAUUGUGUCAUUCACUAAUCUGUAUCGUUCGUUGUCCUCUGUUAUCAUCUUGUCAAGUCCCUCUCUAGCUCUCCAUGGCACCAGUUCCAGGAAGGCACUGCCAACUUCAUUGAGAGUGUCCAGUAAGGCUUUGUUGUUUUUUGCUUCUUGCUUCAACUCUUUUUGUCUUUCUUGUGCUUGGCUUAAUUCUUCACCCUUUGGCAUUUGAGUUUCAUAUGACAGUAACUCCACUUCCACUUUGUCAAGCCAUUUGCAGAGCUCUUCAUGGGUUGAGUGCAGCUGACCUGCAAGCUGUAGGGCUUGCUCUAAGGUCUUGGACACAUCAGAACUCAAUUUUGUAAUGUCUUUGUAUCUCACUUUAAUGCCUUCCAGUUUAUCUUGAAUUAUUAUAACUUCAUCACCUGUUGUUUGUUUGAGAAGCUCUAAGCCAUUUUGUAUAGCCAAAUCGACAUUUUGUUUUCUGAGAAGAAUCUCCUCCUGAAGCUCCAGUAGUUCAGAGUGCUGUUUCUCAAGCAAUUCUGUGUUGCAAUCUUGGACUGACAACUUGCUCAGUUUAUCAUGGACUUCAUUCAGCCAGUUCAUCAACUCAACUUCGUCCUCCCCAAAAAUCUGAGCAUUGCAGUACGCUUGCUGUAGAAGUUCAGACCUGCUGUUGCUCUUCUC
rnacentral:lncRNA from 1 species